AGAUGUCUUCAGGGCAGGGUGAAAAUCCCGAUCGGCGGUACAGUCCGCGAGCCGGAAACGGCAGACCCGGUGCAACUCCGGGACCGACAGUGACGCGCAUAUCCCAGGGCGCGAAGUCUGGAUGAAAGAAGAUGUGU
rnacentral:ncRNA from 2 species